rnacentral:rRNA from 1 species
UGACGGUACCACUUGAAUAAGCUCCGGCUAACUACGUGCCAGCAGCCGCGGUAAUACGUAGGGAGCAAGCGUUAUCCGGAUUUACUGGGUGUAAAGGGCGUGUAGGCGGGACAUCAAGUCAGAUGUGAAAGCACGAGGCUCAACUUCGUGUCUGCAUUUGAAACUGACGUUCUUGAGUGUUGGAGAGGCUAACGGAACUCCUAGUGUAGCGGUGAAAUGCGUAGAUAUUAGGAAGAACACCAGUGGCGAAGGCGGCUUUCUGGACAGUUACUGACACUGAGGCACGAAAGUGUGGGGAGCAAACAGGAUUAGAUACCCUG